AAAACCCUAGCUUUCAAUUUCUCAUCAACACAUUAUAAAUACCACAAUAAUAAACCUCACUCUCUGGCCGUUUGUGGCGAUUAGGGUUCAGUACAAAUUCCUCAUUGUUCUCUCCGCCGUCUAUUCCACUCUCUUUAGCAAUCGCCACCGCUCCCUCCUCAGGUGAUGAUAAAAUAGACAGGGACAUCAGCUACUCCUUUUUUAGGGAGGAUGAUGACUAAGUCUAAAAUGGGAAUCUCUCUGAUGCAUUUUUCAUAGAUUAAAAACUGUGAAUUUAGUGUUUUUUUUCUGUAUAUAUAAUUGAAUUGGUUUUUGUGCAAAUGAUGAUAAAAUAGACAGGGACAUCAGCUACUCCUUUUUUAGGGAGGAUGAUGACUAAGUCUAAAAUGGGAAUCUCUCUGAUGCAUUUUUCAUAGAUUAAAAACAGUGAAUUUAGUGUUUUUUUUCUGUAUAUAUAAUUGAAUUGGUUUUUGUGCAAAUGAUGAUAAAACAGACAGGGACAUCAGCCACUCCAAUUGAAAUUGGAGAAUGUUGACUAUGUCUAAAUGGGAAUCUCUCUGAUGCAAAAAUCAGUUUUUUGGCGAUUAUUGUUUGAUUUUAGUGUUGGAGAAAUGCUAUAGACAGCGGUGGUUAUCUAUGUUUCUGCAUUUGGGCUUGUUUAUGCAAAUCACUUAUGUCCACAGCGUUCAAGUGGUUAUGUUAUCUGCAUGGAUGGUUUCGAUGCAUGACCUUGGAUGGUUGCGGCUGUGUUUUGGAAAACAUCGUUUUGAAAACUGCUUUGUUUUAUUGAUUUGAUUUAUGUAGCUGUUCGUAAUGGUAUGUAGGUUGUCUUGCAUUCUAAACAGCCUUUUGUUUUGCAAAAUGGUACCGCCUCAGUUUCUGUAAAAUUUCUUUCUUAUUUCUUUCCUGGAUGAAUAGCAUAGAUGAAUGAUCUGCCAGUGAUGCAAUCAUAAUUCACGUAUUAUCAGAUAUGAAGAUGAUGAUGAUACAUGAUUGUCACUACCUCUGAGGCAAAGCUAUUAUCUUGUCCCCACAAUGCUUCUUGUGCUACUCUGUGGGAGAAUUUUCCCUCGAACAGUUUUUUUUUUUUUUUGAAUUCCCUGAUUUUCUAAUGUUAAUGUUUUCCCAUGUGGUUUGGUCUCAUGCGUUGGACGUGUCUAGUAGUGACAAGGCCUGAUGAUUAUAUUACAAGAACGGAGAUAUGAAUGGUGCCAGUUGUUGUAGCCUGAAUAUAUAUUAUUGGGCUCCGGCGGCACCUCAUGUAAAAAACUACUGUGGUUGAAAAUGAGGGCUUUUCCAACCUUUUGAGGCUGCCGAUUGAUUCCCAAAUACGGGAUAGUACAAUCUUGAGACCACAUCGCUCUUGCUGAUUUUAAUAUUUAUUGCCAAAAACUUAUACGGGGGUGGCAUAGAGUAAUUGUUUAAUCAAAUUGGUGGUUGCAAAAUCUGUUUCUGUUAAGAUAUAAAUAAUAUAAUGGUUCCCAGAACUUUUGUGGUUGCA